ensembl:lncRNA
UUCCCCACCAGCAGAGGUCGCAAUCACUCGAAUUCUAGCAUGACCUCUGACAUGCACUUCCUGGUUACUUCCUGGUUUGUCACUUACAUAAGCACAUAGAGUCUAUCCCAAUUCCAAAUUUUUAGGUUCUUCUCUCUGGCUGCUCGGAUUUUGGUCUUCAGCGAUGCUGGCUAAGUAAUGUCGAACAAUGCAGCGGCUGGGGAACUGAUCUGUUGCUACUGGCAACAGGGGAGGCGAAGGAAUCCAUGGCAACAAGCUCCAGCGCUCUCCGUUGCCUUCAGUCGUCCACAUCCAUUUCGAAUCGACCCAAAAUUCAGGAUGUUCUACAGUAGCUUUCGCAGCCCGGGAGGUGGCGGCUCGGCGUUUCCAGCUGAAUGGAAGUUUCAGGGGAGAAAUUUGAGCGCACGCAAUCUCUUUUGA